rnacentral:rRNA from 1 species
AAUGAACGCUGGCGGCGUGCCUAAUACAUGCAAGUCGAACGACCAGACGAGGAGCUUUCUCCCCUGACGUUGGCGGGGGACGGGUGAGUGACACGUACAUCGCCAUCUUCUUUUACGGGGGUAACAACGGAAAAACGGAGACACUACCGGCGAAUAUAAUCUACGGCAGAGAUCAAUGGAGCAUCACGCCUUGCCUGUUUCAAAUAGCCGAAUCCGGACCGCAUUAGCUAGUUGGUAAGGUAACGGCUAACCAAGGCAACGAUGCGUAGCUGACCUGAGAGGAUGAUCAGCCACACUGGAACUGAGACACGGUCCAGACUCCUACGGGAGGCAGCAGUGGGGAAUCUUCCGCAAUGGGCGAAAGCCUGACGGAGCAACGCCGCGUGAGUGAUGAAGGUCUUCGGAUCGUAAAACUCUGUUAUUAGGAAAGAACAGAUGUGGAUGUAAAUAUGGACGUUUUGACGGUACCUAAUGAAAAAGCCCCGGCUAACUACGUG